UGUAAUUUUCGCUCUUCAACGGCCAAAUCUUCCAUUGUUCGGUGAGUGCAACUUGCUACUUCUCUCCAGUAGAGAUUGUCUGGGGAAGUUGCAUGUGUUUCUUGAGAGAAUGGAGACUCUCUCCUUGGAUAAGUCAUGCACAUUAUUUUUUCAUGAUUUUAUUGCAAAUUUAAGCA